GGAAAUGUGCCUGAGGACCAAGGACCACUAUGAUAAAGUGGACACAGAGGUAUACCAACCCUCUCAUUUCCU
rnacentral:tRNA from 1 species